CAAUGUACUAAGAUCUAUUAUGUAUUACCUAUCUUUCCACCCUUGGAGUCAUGUUGUGGUUGUUCAAAAAUACCCCAUUAUGAUUCAUUUCAUACUGUGCAACAUGAAAGGAGAAUGAAACUUGAAGCUUCUGCCAAGGCAGGACAUGGAUCCUUUCUACUCUUGAUAGCCAGUUAUAAUAUUUGAAUCUAUAUUAUGUUAUUUAUAGUCAUUGGCAUUGGUGUUUAGUCCCUUGGCUUCUAUAGCAGUCCAUGGUGACAUGAUGAAAAAGGAAAUGGAGGCAAGUGCUCUGCUGGGGUCCAUGGCUUUGCAGUGAAGCUUAAUGUGGUCUCAAGGUGUAUUAGGCUUUCUACUCCUUCAGUGGAGCUUAUGAAGUUCUAAGACUGCUGCAGAAGGCUUCAUCUCGAAUUCAGGUGAUGCACUCCCACUUCUCCAAUGUUAAUGAAGAUUAUAUCUGAAGUAUAAUAUAUAUCACUCUUCUCUUCCUAGCUUGGAAGAGAGAGAAAGAAAGAAAUAGUGAAAGAUAGAAAGGGAUAGAGUGUUCUACUCCACCAUCUAAGUAUGUGAUGAAAAGUUACAAAGGAAACUUGUUUGCUAAAAGAAGAGAAACCAUUGUGUUAAAGAAGGCGAAGUCAAAAACCAUGGAGGUUGAACUAUGCUUUUAAAUAUUAUGGUUUAUUUUUGUAGUCUUGAUACCAAUGCUUGUUCUUAUGUUAGAAUUAGAAAUUCUUAUUGAAAUAUUUUGGUAUAAUUAAUAAGUUUAUGUGUAAUUAAUAUA